AAUCGAAAACAGAGUUAUGCACCUAACUGGAAUUUCCUCUUGAUAAGGAACGUUUUUCAAAAGAGUGGUAUGUGCCAUAAAAUAUUUCGUUUAACAAAAUAUCAAUUUGAAAAUAUCUGAGGGCUCUGGAUCUCACAUAGAUUAUUAAGCAAAACAGUCGCAAGUCAUAUGACACUAUUAGUGUAUCGUUACCGGCCCUAUUGUCCGAGCAAAAAACGUGUUAUGACACUUGACACGUUAUUGCGUAUCUAACUUCAAAUUAAACCGUUGGUGCCUUUCGGACAGUGUCAAGUGCAGCUCUGUGUUUUUUCGUGUUUUUAAUCAGCACAUUGUGAUUCCUGACAAAAGAAGUGUAAAAACAGUUUCUAUGUGGAUUACUGAUAUGAAAAUAAGUGGACGUUUCCAAGAAUGUUCUCGAGAGGAAAAAAUCGCGUUAAAUUAUGCAAAGCGCCUGAUGCCAAUCCUGCAAAAAGGACCGGACAAAAGCUAUUCAGUAGAAUGUUGUUAAGAGGAAAAAAUCUCGUUAAAUUAUGCGAAGCACCUGAUGCCAAUUCAAGCAGCCAACAAUCACCGGGUUUGCCUCAGACUAGCACAGCUUCAACUCCAAUAACUACCCAUGCCUCUGAUACGCCCCAAUUCAGUGCUCCAUCUCCAAGAAUUACACAUUCAUCUGAUUCGUCAAUCACAAGAGAAGCAUCACCAAUCAUUGGACAAACAUCAUCUACUAGUCAUGAGCCAAUUAAUAACUUAAAUUCUGCAACCAAAACAGUGGACAUAAUUCUACCAGUAGAUGACAAAGAGUUGUUGGAUGCAGUUAAUUCCAUAACAGCCAGCGUACCGUAUAACGAUCAUCACAGGGAUC